CAAAAACCCGAGGAAGCCGAGCGCCAUAGCCGCCGUCGCCGAGCCAUCCGCCGCGCCAAGUCCUCCCCGCCGCGUCCGAGCUCGCCGCCAGCUUCGCAGUAGCGGGAGGAACUCGUUUUGCUGCUCGCCGAAGUCUCUCCGCCGUCGGAACCGAGUUCUCUCCGCUCGCCGGAAGCUUCCCCGCCCGUCGGAUUCGCCUCUCCGCCGUCGCAGCCGGAUCCCCGUCGACUUCCGAGCGCCGCCGCCCGCCAUUGUCGUCGCCCGUCGCCGUCAAGACCUCCCCGGCCGUCGACAAGCCCCCGGAGGAGAGCAGAGUGCCAGCAUCCAAGACCAAGUUUUCGAAGAUUCUGAGCAGCCAGCUUACGAAGGCAAGUGUCCUUGAUCACCUUGAUUUAACCAUAGAUCAUUAUAGUUUACUUUUCCUUAGUUGCAUGCUUGUCUAAUUUUGAAUCCCAUGAAUAGGGUUUACUAGAAUUUGUAUGGCCAUUCCUUGUAGCCUUUUUGGGGUUUUGGGUCCUGUAAAAGGGUAGUCAUGCUAGUGCAGUCAUGGAUUAGAAUCAUUAUGAACUUUGAUUAAUAACUAUGGAACAAGUUCUUGGGAGAAUUGAUAAUCUUGUAGUAACUUGAAUUUAGGGAUCCCAACUGGAUGGCUAGUAUGUGGUGGAGCUUUACAGCAGGG